CCUACGGGAGGCAGCAGUGGGGAAUAUUGGACAAUGGGCGAAAGCCUGAUCCAGCAAUGCCGCGUGAGUGAUGAAGGCCUUAGGGUUGUAAAGCUCUUUUACCAGGGAUGAUAAUGACAGUACCUGGAGAAUAAGCUCCGGCUAACUCCGUGCCAGCAGCCGCGGUAAUACGGAGGGAGCUAGCGUUGUUCGGAAUUACUGGGCGUAAAGCGUGCGUAGGCGGUGAUUCAAGUCAGAGGUGAAAGCCUGGAGCUCAACUCCAGAACGGCCUUUGAAACUAGAUCGCUAGAAUUAUGGAGAGGUAAGUGGAAUUCCGAGUGUAGAGGUGAAAUUCGUAGAUAUUCGGAAGAACACCAGUGGCGAAGGCGACUUACUGGACAUAUAUUGACGCUGAGGUACGAAAGCGUGGGGAGCAAACAGGAUUAGAUACCCUGGUAGUCCACGCCGUAAACGAUGAUAACUAGCUGUUUGGGCUCUCAGAGCUUGAGUGGCGCAGCUAACGCAUUAAGUUAUCCGCCUGGGGAGUACGGUCGCAAGNUUAAAACUCAAAGAUAGUAGACGNGAGAGAGCGACGACGACGACGACGGAGGAGGAG
rnacentral:rRNA from 1 species